UGGGUUCUAGUCAUUCAGUCCUCUGGGUAGAUCAGUUCUCCAGCCAGAAUUGUGUCCCAAGGUUCUGCUUUCAGCUCUUUUUUUUUUUCCCUUUCCACUCAUGCUCUUUCACUUUUAUCAUUUCAACCAUCAUUUGGAAUUAAAACACUCACUCAUUUCUCUAAACUCCAGAUUUGCACCCUAACUACUGUGGUCCUGUCAUUAGCUCCCAGAUCAGACUGGAGUGGUGCAUCUGAUUGGCUAAGCCUGGACCGCAUGACCAGGCCCUAGCUGCAAGGAAACCAGGGAAAGUACCUGUGCUUUUGGCUUCUGUAGUGGCUUAUAAGUACAACCUCCCUCCAAAACUCAUGAGAUGGCCAUUCCCCAAACAUAGGGAGGGCAUUUAGAUGCUUACUCACUCGGCAUUGUGCUUUCAGUCUUGCGCUACAUUCCUGCUUCCCCACCUCUAUCAAUAGCAUCAUUAAACUUCUAGGUCCUCAGGUGCAAAUCCUGAGCAUUAUCCUGGCUUUGCCUUCUUCCUUUCCCCUUCAUCCAGAUCGGUCACAUCAGAACCCAUCACUUUGUCCUCAGUAGCGCUUCUCACAUCCAUGCCUUCCUUUCCCUUACGCAUAUCUCCAUGUCAGCUCAUUCACUGAACAGGCAUUUAUUGGGUGCCUACUGUGUGCCAGGUGCUAUGUUGAAGAGGAAGGUGGAAUACAAAGCUGCUUUGAGGGCCUAGCAGCCUGGUGGGGGAGGCAGACACGAAUAAUUACAAGACAGUGUAAAGGCUGCUGUCCUGAAGACUUAUACAAGGUGCUGUGCAGCAUGCGGGCCGGAGCCCUGGGACACCUUAGGAAAUUCCAUGAUCUUGCUUACUGCUGUCUUGGGAAGUCCUUUCCAGUGUCUAACCAAGAUCUGUACUACUGAAGUACCAGUUCUUUGACAUUUGGCUUGACAUGGCUCAUCUGAGAGACCAAAAAGAAGAACCUACUUCACCCAGCUGGCUUGGGUUCCCUCUGAGAAGCCGUCCUGAUUGACUGAAAGAUAAGGCUAAACUCUAGCAAGUUGAAGAGCUCUUUCAAGAAGCCUUUGAGCCAGAGAGAAGUGGGGAGGCCCUAGCCUCCAGCCUGGGCAGCCCACUGUACCUGAGCCACCUGGGAUAAGACUUUGCUUCACCAUUGCUCCCAGGUCUACAAGCUGUCCGUCCCACCCGUCCUGGUCUCUCUUGUGUUGUCUGAGCUGAGAUUCCUCUGAGAUGGAAGUCCGGUCUCCUGUCUAAUAAAGACUCUUGAAUACUGAACAACAGUA